GACGAACGCUGGCGGCGUGCUUAACACAUGCAAGUCGAACGGAAAGGCCCUGCUUUUGUGGGGUGCUCGAGUGGCGAACGGGUGAGUAACACGUGAGUAACCUGCCCUUGACUUUGGGAUAACUUCAGGAAACUGGGGCUAAUACCGGAUAGGAGCUCCUGCUGCACGGUGGGGGUUGGAAAGUUUCGGCGGUUGGGGAUGGACUCGCGGCUUAUCAGCUUGUUGGUGGGGUAGUGGCUUACCAAGGCUUUGACGGGUAGCCGGCCCGAGAGGGUGACCGGCCACAUUGGGACUGAGAUACGGCCCAGACUCCUACGGGAGGCAGCAGUGGGGAAUAUUGCACAAUGGGCGGAAGCCUGAUGCAGCAACGCCGCGUGCGGGAUGACGGCCUUCGGGUUGUAAACCGCUUUCGCCUGUGACGAAGCGUGAGUGACGGUAAUGGGUAAAGAAGCACCGGCUAACUACGUG
rnacentral:rRNA from 1 species